CUUUUACAACAUAGCACUUCAUUAGAAGGCUGAAUUAGUUAUUCUGCCUGAAAUCUCUCAAUUUCACACGCUUCGUUUACCAUUCUAUCUAGUAGUAGUUACCAUUUCACUACUACUACCUUUUGACGCCACGAAUAAGCCCAAAUACCCUCCAACUCUAAUAAAAACAAAACGGGUUCAAGACGGCAGCGGGAAAUACUCCUUUGUUAGCUUUAGCUUUGUGUACCAUAAUCGUUGCAGUUAGAGGGAUUUGUAUGCUUAUUUAGAAAUCAGAAGAGUCUUUUGAGUUGAAAUUGGGUAUAGUCACUUCCAAUAAAUUUUAAAAUCUGUUUAGCGGUCACAAUUUUGAUUUACAAUUCAACUCUUUGAAUCUGAAAGCUUACCUUCUUCUGAACGAAAAAUACUUGUAAGGGAAAAAAUUGGCUCUUCAUCUGUUACUUUUUCUUUUUGAAGUCGGUGUAAAAUUAUAAUUACGUCGAAUCCUUCGUUAAAAAAACGCUGCAGUACAGAUUUUCAAACCGUGCAGAAAAAAAUUCGACAAUGAAGAUUCCAGUUCAACUUCACACUGAAACGAAGCCGGAAGGUCAAUUCUUCUGUACGCUGACUUUCACAAUCAAGACUAUUGAACUUAAUAUGGAAAAGACUAGAGUUGACAUGCUCGGCAGCAACAUAGUCGCUUUGCACGUAGAAAACGAGGAGGGAAUAGAAGACGAAGACUACCACUUAGAGUUCGACUCGGCCGAAGACGCCCGAUUAGUCUCGCUAAAACUGAAGGCAAAAAGUGGCCAUGAAAUAAAUAUGGACUGUCAUUUGAUUCCCGAAGAUGAGAGGCAUGGAUGUAAAUUUGGACAGUUUUCAUUCAUAAGUGGCCUCUUUUAGUUAAAUUGAGAAGCAACUGGUAGCUGAACUACACCAUAACUUUUCCUGAAACAAUGGCCGAAGUUUUUUGUAAUAAUUUUAGCCAUAGGUGCCAUUAUGAUUUAAAAUCAUCGGGCCAACAUUAAAUUGCAUCCUUCACCCACUUUAAUUAUUUUGGCAUGUUUAAAUGUUGUACUGCAUAUAAUAUAUUUGGUUAAUUAUACAUCUUUAAUGUUUG